CCCCAAGUCAAGCGUGUGUCAGAUUAUAAGUAAUGAAAUAGUUAAUUUAUAAUGUAUCUAUCUAUAUAGGAAUGUAUGUAUGUCUAUAGAGUUGUUUCACAUUAUUAUUGUUAAUGUUGCUUGUUUAUUUUAUUUCUUGUUUGGUGUAUACUAAAGUGUAAAUAAAGAAAUGUAAUAUUUGAUAAUAUAAGAUGUGGGUAGGACUAUACUUUUUUGUCGUCGUCUAUAAAACGAGUGUUCGGACUCGAUUGGGGAUUCUUGUUUGUGACUUCGACCGGUGCGGAGCUCUCGGGGAAAAAGAUAAGUAUUAUUAUGUAUUAGUUAUGGUAUACAUAUAAUUAUAAUGAAUAAGUACUUAUGUAAUAAUAUUGGUGAUAAAUUGUUACAAGAUAUUUAAUUCAUUAUACGCUUCUUAAAGAUAAAAGUAUUUAAUUUCACUGAUCAGAUAAUAAUUCUUAAAUUAAUAAAGUUAUGGGGCCAUUCCAACUACUAGAAGGUCUGAUGGAAGAAGCCAUUCAAGAAGCAAUUGCCUUAAAUCGGCGCUCGGAUGACAUUGCUUUUUAUUUUAAUUUUAAUUUUGAUUUCAAUUUCGACUUUGAUUUUUAUUUUUAGUCUUGAUUUUAGUUUUGAUUUUUGAUUUUGGUUUUAAUUUUGAAUUUGUGUUGAAUAGGGUGAUAAUUUGUGAUAAUUUAAUAUAUUGUAUUUUU
rnacentral:misc_RNA from 1 species